rnacentral:rRNA from 1 species
AGCGAACGCUGGCGGCAGGCUUAACACAUGCAAGUCGAACGGGCGUAGCAAUACGUCAGUGGCAGACGGGUGAGUAACGCGUGGGAACGUACCUUUUGGUUCGGAACAACCCAGGGAAACUUGGGCUAAUACCGGAUAAGCCCUUACGGGGAAAGAUUUAUCGCCGAAAGAUCGGCCCGCGUCUGAUUAGCUAGUUGGUGUGGUAACGGCGCACCAAGGCGACGAUCAGUAGCUGGUCUGAGAGGAUGAUCAGCCACAUUGGGACUGAGACACGGCCAAACUCCUACGGGAGGCAGCAGUGGGGAAUAUUGGACAAUGGGCGCAAGCCUGAUCCAGCCAUGCCGCGUGAGUGAU